GUGUGUGUGUGUGUGUGUGUGUGUGUGUGUGUGUGUGUGUGUGUGUGUGUGAAACAGGAACGGAGACGGGGUUCAACCUCUCCCCACCCUUAGUCUGGAAAUUCCAAGGAACCCAUGGACACCAGGGAGCCGAGAGAAUCGCUAUCCUGGGCCGCUCUGCCCGUCGAGGCUGCGGCGAAAGAUGAGGUCUGGUUGGCUUCUUUGUCCUUGGGAGCCCUCCUGGGAACACUCCUUCAGCUCCCACCUAGUUGGGCCGAAUCCAGGGGUGGACUUAAGCCGGAACCCCGUGGUGGAUCAGUCCCAGUUCUCCCAUCCUUCCUUCCACCACCAAUCCUUUCCUUUCUGUUUCAGAACUCCCAGGGUCUAGCUCAGCAGGAUGGACCGUACUCUGUGAGUAGGGGUGGGGGCUUCGCGAAUUUGGAAGUUGUCUCAGCCUUGAUCUGGUUCCAGACUUCCCGCGGCCGCUCCAAACCCUGAGACCACCAGAAAAGAAAGAAAAAAAAGUCAGUCUCUAUGCAGUGGGAGAUGCAAGCGCUCACCUUUGAGCGCGGUCCCAUGGAACUGUUAGAGCCCGGACCAGGGAGCCAAGGAGUGGGUCAGUGCGCACCGGCCCAGGAAGGCCUCUGCUGCGCGCAGGCGCGGACCCGGCCGCCGCCCCCUCUCCAAGCACAGGGUUGAGGGGACAGACCCUAAGCCCCUCUCUGAGCAACUACUGCCUCUUAAAAAAAAAAGACCAUCUGGUAAUUGUCUUUCUUUAGAUCUUCCCUUAAUUAUGCUUUUAAUUAAAGAUGGUUCAAGGCACCGGACCACAUGAAGGGCAGUAAUUACAAAUUACAUUACAAACCCGACAGAUGUAGCGCGAUCUACUGGGAAAAAGGUAGCGGAAUAAAAAUUUGACUAAACUUUGGGAUAAAUUAAUCGGCGGCCUGGAGAACAGAAGCGCAGUUCUGGUCGUGUAGACUGCAAGCAGGAUUUAAGUUUUGUGUCAUCAUGACUGUUUUCAUAUUUCUUUGACGUCUAUUGAUUUGGAGGCAGCUGCAAGCCUUUGUCACAGGAGAGAAGAGCAGUCACAAUAUAUUAGCUUGAUGGCAUAACUCGAACCGGAGAGGCGAGGGGAGCUACAGUGACGGGGGCACACGUGACCUCCUGCCCGCGGCUUCCCAGCCCAACCCUCACUUAAAACUUGUUCUAACUGGAACUGUGAGUAUUGCUCUCGGUACAGUCUGAAGGUGCUCUUCUGUCUAGGGUGCGGAUGGCUGUGAGAUGGAAGUGAGGGAGGGUCCCUCACUACCUCUGCUGGGGGCCACUGAAGCUCUCGGUGGCACUUCUGGUCCGGCCUUUUGGAUGAAGUUUUAGGGUUCAACUGUUUAGUCCCAAGGCUCUGGACAAAGUCCUCGCUCAGCCUGGCCUAUUUGGGGGGGGGCCUUCUCGUGAGGAUGUGAGCCGGAAAGAUACGUGGCUCAGGAAGCUAUUGGACUGCCCAGAAGGUGUCCCCCGCCCCCGCCCUCUGGUGCGGGGCUACCAAACCACAACGGGAUUGUACCAGGUCGGGAUCCAAACUGCAAACUCAAGGAAGGGAAUUAGGUCACUCUCUUCUCUAAACCUUACCCUGUCUUCUCUUACCUCAACUCCAUCCUGGUAUCACCAUAGCCUGGAACACAUUUUCAAGCCGGAGUCCACUCACUCUGAGCCAGUAGCUCUGCUUUAUGGAAAAACUAUGUGCCCAUCACUCACCCAUCUAUUUACAACACCAACACCGGUGCUGUGCCUCAUGGACAUCCAUGGUCAAUUAAACACACCCACUUAGGGCGGGAUGAUGAAGGCUUUCUAUUAACCACAGGCGUUCAGAAAUGGACGCAAACCUAAUUUGGUCUUUUUGUUGGGGAUGAAUGUUCCCAGGCAAGGUUUUUGAUCCAGCCUGCUUUGGGAAAAGAGGAAGAUCCAGCGGCCUGGCAUUUCCUUCCGCGACCUUCGGAAGGAAAGUUUUCCUUUUGAUUCUCCCUGUGUCCUUCUUUUCUUUUGUAUGGCAGUUUCUGAGAGGAGUGGAAAUAUUUUGACUAGACCUCCCCAGGGGCCUUUUAAAUACAAGGCGCCGUCAUCCCUGCAAUAGUUCAUAGUUUCAAAAUUUGGAUGUAAGAGUCUGUCUUGCUGUGGAAAAUCAUGUAAUUGAUGGUGACUGUUCAACUCAUACAGUGAAGCCAUGUAUUCCCUAGAGAUGGCUCAAAUGUGAGGGGUUGCUACUUUUCCAACAGUUUUUAGAUGGAGAAGAAAAAGAAAAUUUCUAACAGACCUUUGUUAUUGUGUCACAGCAAGAGCACAUUUCAUUGGUUCUCUUCCAUCUCUUCCUUCUUGCUGUUGGGGCAGAUACAGGAAAAACACAGAAAUAAAAAACAAUACUUAAACGGUGAAAAGCCUAUCUGGCUUUUCUACAUAUCUGAAUGAGGACUCACCGACUCUAUUUUGAUAUAUACUAUAAAGCAGAUCUGUUGAAACAGAUGUGUGCAGAGUUCAGAGAAACUAAACUUAGUAGGAAAAGAACCAUGCUAAGGGUAUCCUAGUUUUUGUGUAUAAUACAGGUGAUAUAGUGCUUUUUCAUUCAAAAGGAAGCGAAGGGGGCCAGGAGGCGGACAGUCUCUUUCUCUGUCUGUCUCUUUCUGCCUCUGUCUCUUUGCCUCUGUCUCUCUCUGUCUCUCACUCUCUGUCUCUCUGGCUCUCUGGCUCUUGUGUGUGUGUGUGCACGCAUGCGUGCAUUUCCCAUGUAUCCAGGUAUUCAUGAUUUAUACUCAGAAAAUAUUUCUAAAAACAGAUGUGAUGCCAAGUAUGGUGGUAUAAUAGAUGUCUGUGAUUCCAGAACAGCCAGGGCUACAUUGUGAGACCCUGUCUCAAAAUAAACAAAUAGAGACAGGUCAUUACAAAUUUGGCUUCGUCUUCUGUGGAUGUCUGGGUCUUUGGAGUUGUAACAGGUUAGGUCAUGGUUUUGAAUUUCUAGCACUUUCACUGUUGGUUGUGGCCAUUUUAUUUUAAGGCCUGGAUGCUCUCAAGAAGGUGCCCAGGCAGUGUUUAUUUAUUUCUCCUGCCAGAUUUUCUGUUAGAUGAAACAUAUUGUUUUUAGAUCAAUCAUCUUAGCCAUCUCUAAAUUCUUUUAAAAUACUCUAUUUAUGAGUUUUUUUUAAAAAGGGAGAUUUUUUUGUUUCGUUUGUAAGCAAUUUCUAAUGAUAAUAGAUAGAUAAUAAUAGGUAACAAAACUCAAUACCAAGAAUUUAACAUAAACUUGUGUACAAUACUGAAAAUGCUCUCGAGUAGGAAAAAACAAAAAAGAAAAAGAAAAAUGUUAAAAUGCCUAUUGCUUGUGAUGCUAACCUCUUUUCAGUGCAAGGAAUGGAAAAUUUUCAGCUGGGUAUUCUGUUUUCUCACUUUGUUUCCUCUGUAAUGCUCAGCAGUGCUCUGCCUGCCUUCUCUGUCUUCCCACAGCCUGUGUGUACACUGUGAACUUCAAUAAAUAUAAAUUACUGCUU